rnacentral:rRNA from 1 species
GGGCUCACACAAGCGGUGGAGGAUGUGGCUUAAUUCGAGGCUACGCGAAGAACCUUAUCCUAGUCUUGACAUGCACGGAUUAACUCCUGGAAACAGGAGCCAGGCCUUCGGGUACAACGUGCACAGGUGCUGCAUGGCUGUCGUCAGCUCGUGUCGUGAGAUGUCGGGUUAAGUCCCUUAACGAGCGAAACCCUUGUCACUAGUUGCCAGCGCGUCAUGGCGGGGACUCUAGUGAGACUGCCGGUGUUAAACCGGAGGAAGGUGGGGAUGACGUCAAGUCCUCAUGGCCUUUAUGACUAGGGCUGCACACGUCCUACAAUGCCACGCACAAAGGGAAGCAAGCUCGCGAGAGUAAGCAAAUCUCAAAAAUCGUGGCCCAGUUCGGAUUGCAGGCUGCAACUCGCCUGCAUGAAGCCGGAAUCGCUAGUAAUCGCGGGUCAGCAUACCGCGGUGAAUGUGUUCCUGAGCCUU